GCGUUAUUCGGAAUUACUGGGCGUAAAGCGUACGUAGGCGGUGGUUCAAGUCAGAGGUGAAAGCCCGGAGCUCAACUCCGGAACUGCCUUUGAAACUAGAUCGCUAGAACAUCGGAGAGGUAAGUGGAAUUCCGAGUGUAGAGGUGAAAUUCGUAGAUAUUCGGAAGAACACCAGUGGCGAAGGCGGCUUACUGGACGAUUGUUGACGCUGAGGUACGAAAGCGUG
rnacentral:rRNA from 1 species